rnacentral:rRNA from 1 species
AUUGAACGCUGGCGGCAUGCCUUACACAUGCAAGUCGAACGGCAGCACGGGAGCAAUCCUGGUGGCGAGUGGCGAACGGGUGAGUAACAUAUCGGAACGUGCCCAGUGAUGGGGGAUAGCCCGGCGAAAGCCGGAUUAAUACCGCAUACGACCUACGGGUGAAAGCAGGGGAUCGCAAGACCUUGCGUCAUUGGAGCGGCCGAUAUCAGAUUAGCUUGUUGGUGGGGUAAAAGCCUACCAAGGCGACGAUCUGUAGCUGGUCUGAGAGGACGACCAGCCACACUGGGACUGAGACACGGCCCAGACUCCUACGGGAGGCAG